CUGCCAUGGUGUGGACAUUCCCUCUACAAGUCCUUAUAUCUUUCCCAUGUGUCAUAAAGUGAUUCACCUUCCUUUUGUCUCAAGGUGUUGAGCUCAAGUCUCAGUCU